CAGAGUUCAUGCCCGAAAGGGUAGACCUCCCACCCUUGUGUAUUAUUACUUUGUUGCUUUGGCGAGCCGCUCUUCGGGGCCUUGUAUGCUCGCCAGAGAAUAUCAAAACUCUUUUUAUUAAUGUCGUCUGAGUACUAUAUAAUAGUUUA
rnacentral:misc_RNA from 1 species